rnacentral:rRNA from 2 species
CUUAAUCCAACAUCGAGGUCGCAAACCCCCCUGCCGAUAAGAACUCUCAAGGGAGAUAACGCUGUUAUCCCUAAGGUAAUUUAAUCUUACAAUCAAAAUAAAUGGAUCAAGCAAAUAUAAAUAAAUAUAACAACACAAAGGAGGGGUUAAAUAAUAUCCCUCCCAUCACCCCAACAAAACAUAUUAAACAGCCCUAGUGAACCCUCACAAACAGAAAGAGACCGUGAAUAAAUGUCAAACUCUAUAGGGUCUUCUCGUCCCAUAAAAACAUCUAAGAAUUUUAACUCAAAGACCAAAUUCAAUAAACAAUUCAAAAUUAAGACAGCUUAUGCCUCGUCAAGCCAUUCAUACCAGAUCACAAUUAAAGAACUAAUGACUAUGCUACCUUUGCACGGUCAAAAUACCGCGGCCCUUCAACAUUCAAGGUCAGUGGGCAGGCCAUACUUCAAAAACUAA